rnacentral:rRNA from 1 species
AGCGCAGGCGGUCUUUUAAGUCUGAUGUGAAAGCCUUCGGCUUAACCGGAGAAGUGCAUCGGAAACUGGGAGACUUGAGUGCAGAAGAGGACAGUGGAACUCCAUGUGUAGCGGUGAAAUGCGUAGAUAUAUGGAAGAACACCAGUGGCGAAGGCGGCUGUCUGGUCUGUAACUGACGCUGAGGCUCGAAAGCAUGAGUAGCGAACA